AUACGGAGGAUGCGAGCGUUAUCCGGAUUUAUUGGGUUUAAAGGGAGCGUAGGCGGGAGCUUAAGUCAGCGGUUAAAUGGUGCGGCUCAACCGUGCCCUGCCGUUGAAACUGGGUUUCUUGAGAGUGCAAGAGGCGGAUGGAAUCCCUGGUUGAGCGGUUAAAUGCUUAGAUAUCAUGAAGAACUCCGAUUGCGAAGGCAGUCCGCUGGGGCACGUCUGACGCUGAUGCUCGAAGGUGCGGGUAUCGAACAGGAUUAGAUACCCUGGUAGUCCGCACAGUAAACGAUGGAUACUCGCUGUCGGCGAUAUACGGUCGGUGGCCAAGCGAAAGCGUCAAGUAUCCCACCUGGGGAGUACGCCGGCAACGGUGAAACUCAAAUGAAUUGACGGGG
rnacentral:rRNA from 1 species